UAGUAGUAUGUUAUUUCAAAAUGUCAAUGGCGACAGCAUCUAGGAAAGAUCGCAUCCCUAACGAGUAACGUGAAAGAAAGGCAUUGUCGUGGCUGCUCUACGAAGGGUUGAAGAAAGAAAUGUUUUCGCUAGUUGCUGGCCGAACAACUCGCUGAUGCCGAAAAACUUGGCCUCCAAUGGUGUUUCUUUGGUGAAUCAUCAAUCAAAAUAGUAUGUCUUGUGGCAGUAUUCACGGAGGAAGGAGAACGAUCUCGCCACUACUGUUGUUCGUUUCAUCCACGUUGGGCGUUAGCUGCACUGCGGCUAUUGUGUUUUUUAAUAUUCCAUGGACACACAACAGAAUUCUGAUCGAUCGCGGAACCACAACGUAUCUUCCCGCAGCGUCGCAUUGUCCAUGAGCGCAAACGUCAGCCGUUACCCAUCGUCAUUCAUGUCGAUUUGGAGUAUGUACGCCAUGCGCCAGUGGGCCUUGGCACGACGGCGACAGCUCUGAGGAGUGUUCAGGUGAAAAACGUUAAUUUCGAUUGUUGGUGAACGAACAAAUCGCUGGUGGCGAAAAACUUGGCCUGCACCGAUGGUGUUUUGUGAAUCAUCAAGAAUGGUGUGUAACAGUGUUCACCGAGGAAGGAGAACACUCUCGCCGCUACUGUCGUCCGUUUUUUCCGCGCCAUUCACGCUUGGCGUUAGCUGCACUAAGCCCAUUGUGUCUUAGUAUUCCAUGGGCACACCACGAUCAAGCAUGAUGUCUGAGCUGUGUUCACAGAGCGAGGAGAUGCUCUCGCCGCUAUGUUCUGUCCUGUGGAUUACCAAGUGUUGAAGGCUCGCAACGAUGGCGUUGGACAAGUCAGAUCAAAAUGGAGUCAACCACGUCACUGUCUAAUGAAGAGGGAACUCCAUAUGAGAGCGUUUUGGAGGGUAUACCAUCUCACACUGUCCAGCCAUGAAUACUCAGCUGUCAAAGCGCGUCAGUGUCUUAUGUGGAGGGAACUGACCAUGAAGCUUUGGCCGAUCUAGACCGCCAGACGUCGAAGGCAGUGAAGCUCUGCAUUAUAGAGGAGCAGCGGAAGUGCUACCGACCGUCGCAACCUUUACCAAUGCCCCGCCAACACACCAUGCCGACACCGCCACCUACUCGGCCCAGAGGCACAGCUUUAGCAGGUAGUGCGCUGAGGACAACAACAGUCAUAGAGGCGGUGCCGCGGUGGUGGCGGCGGUGGAGGUGGAGGUGGCAAUGAUGAUGACGACGACGACUCUACCGACGAUUGCUUUGUGAUGUUAUACAUGCAUAAAUAAAUAUAAAUAAAUAAUUAAAACACACACUUAUUCACACACUCAUUCUCGUAGUAAUGCAGGUAAAUAUUCCUGUACUCUUACGCGUAUACACAGUUUACACACCCUUCCGUAUUCCGUGCACGUGAACGCAUUGCCUUCUGGCCGCUUCCCUUUCCUCCUGUUUCCAAUGUGCACGGCUGGGUUAUUUCCGUUAAUUCUUUGUUCGCACGCCCGCUUACUGUUUAUGCUUCACAAAUUUGAUGAAGUUGCACAAAUUUUGUGCAGAAUUCUUACAGAAAAAAGAGUAAAAUUAA